UGUGUGUGUGCGUGUGUGUGUGUGUGUGUGUGUGUGUGUAGUGGUUUUGCUUCUCUGAUUGAACCCUAUAUGAUACAGAAUUUGACAUCAGAAGUUUCCAGAUCAAAUAUGCAAAUUCCUAUGAAUUUUUUAAACAAUUUAUUGAGGUUUAAUUGACAUACAUAUCAAUUUUUCAUUCAUCCAACAUUCAACAAAUAUUAUGUCAAGCCUCUUCGAUACCUCUAUUCAUCUAGUCUUUUUAUUUUCAAUAAAGACUAUUUCUUUAAAAGUAUGACUAAGUGUGGUUUAACUUUUGAUAUUUUUGAAAGACCUUUAAAUAAAUAGAUGUGAAACUAAAUUUUUCUGAGAACCUAGAUCCCAUUUUUCUGUAGGGGGAAAGGUUACCAGAGACAUAAGAUUUAUGUCAGGAAUAGUCUUGUUUAUCUGGGGACUCUUAAAGACAGAAUGGAAUGCUGGAAUUUCAAGCUGUGGGAGAGCUGUUUUGAUCUCAGGUAACUCGUACAAAGUGGUCUCCAUCAAACAAUCUCGUGAUAGUCUUAUUGACAAGGGCUACUUAGCUGCUUUUAAACUGAGUAAAUCACAAUUUAAAAUCUGUUGCACAGAGGGAAACAUUACUGUGACUCAUUUUUCCUUGAAGGUGGAUAAGUGUCAGCUCAUGCAUUUUUAGGGAGCUCACAUUUCUGCGUAGAUGUGUCUAUUUUGCAAUUUAAAUAUUUCAUUUAUGUGACUGAUAUUAAAAGGCUGCAGUACUCUAACGCCACUGGAUGUGUGAGACCCCUAGACUUUGGUUAAUAAUGUAUAACAUUCACAGUACCUGGAAGUUAUUUUCUUGAAGCCUAAAUUUUGAAAGAAAGCAUAUCACUUUGCCAGGGACUCUUUCUGACUCUUCACACAUCAAAGCAUUCCAGUGAAGAAAAAAAAAUACCUAAGUGUUGUCUAAAUUAGACCAACAACUAUAUAGACACAAGUUCUAGACAACUGGGACACACUGGGAUGACUGUCCCAGUUGUUAAUGUAUUGAAAUACUUUCCUAUUGGUUGGUGAAGAGAUGUUGCUCUGAGCUCCACAAGCCCGCCUACCCGCAACCGCAGUCACCUCUGUCCACCCCCCAGAACCCCAAACACCCCUCCUUGACCCAGCAAAUAGAGAGCUAUUGUUCAUCUCAGCAGGGUGCCCUCAGGAGCUACCCCAAUACUCUGGUAAGUCUUUAGUCUCGUGCCUGGAGUAUAUAUAGCCAUUAAAUAGUUUUAAUAUCUCUCCUGCACACAGAUGAAAUGGAAAGGGGGCUGGCAUGGAAGGUGGGAGAUUUAAGUUGCAGUCCUUGCUUAGUCUGAGUCUCAGUUCCCCCAUUUAUGAAAUGGGGGGGGGGGGUUGGACAAGAUUAUAUCUAAUGACCCUUUGAGUUCUCUUCUGGGAUUCUAUGAUUUAGAAACAUCUGAAUGUUUUCCAUUUUCAUCUUGGAAGUCUGGUGUCUUGCAGAAGGAAAAGAAUGGCUAAAAGGAGUUGCAUAGCUUGUUCUUUAGAACAAGCUAUGAGGAAGGGGAAUUGAGCUGAUUAGGUAACUCGUACAAAGUGGUCUCCAUCAACCAAUCUCGUGAUAGUCUUUUAAGGCUGGCCAAGCAGUGGGACUUGUCAAGAAAGAAAGGCAGUGGAAACACAACAGGGAACGCUGUAGAAAAUCCCUGCAUAACCAUGCUGAGAAAAGCAUUUGCAAUUCUGAUUCUGAAGCCUCUCGAAAAAUUCAUAUUGGCUCUGGAAAGUGCUCAGAGAAUGACAGCUAAAACGGCUGGAAAAACAGGGGGUCUCUCUGUUGGAAGGCAGAUGAAAAGAUUUCAUAUUCUUCUACCUGGAAGGCAAGGUCG
ensembl:lncRNA